rnacentral:rRNA from 1 species
GACGAACGCUGGCGGCGUGCUUAACACCUGCAAGUCGAAAGAAGUGGCGAACGGGUGAGUAACGCGUAAUCAACCUGCCCUUCAGAGGGGUACAACAGGUGGAAACGACUGCUAAUACCGCAUACGGAAGGAGGGGAUUGCGGCUGAUGAGCUAGUUGGGGGGGUAACGGCCGACCAAGGCGAGGAUCAGUAGCCGGUCUGAGAGGAUGAACGGCCACAUUGGGACUGAGACACGGCCCAGACUCCUACGGGAGGCAGCAGUGGGGAAUCUUCCGCAAUGGACGAAAGUCUGACGGAGCAACGCCGCGUGAUGGAUGACGGCCUUCGGGUUGUAAAGCUCUGUUAAUCGGGACGCGGUACCGGAAUAGAAAGCCACGGCUAACUACGUGCCAGCAGCCGCGGUAAUAC